AAAAAGGGUAAACCUGGACUUCCGCUCUAACAUUUGACUAUCCGUCUUAUAUAAUUUUUUUUAUAAUUAGUAUUUUCAUCGUUGUUAGAUGAUAAAAUAUGAUUAAUACUUUAUGCGCGACUUAUCUUUUUAAUCUUAUUCAUAAUUUUUUCAAAUAAGACGGACGGUCAAACGUUGGACACGGAAACCACGGUUUGUCUUUUU
rfam:Oryza sativa (indica cultivar-group) chromosome 1, whole genome shotgun sequence.